UCCUAAAUGCGAGUCUCCCAGAGGUCCCUUGGUUUCUGUGUGUGCUAUGAUGACCUUUACUCCUGGAAGAAUCUUCAACAGGAAACAAAUGUUUAAAACUGAAGUUAACAGAAGUUGAAUUCAUCAAAAGAAAGGAUUGUUACAGAGAAGAUGAAGCCCGAUUACUCGUGAGUUGUACAUCAUAAGGAGAAGAGGUCAGGCACAUAAGCUGCAAGAAAGGAAAUGCCACAGACAACCAGAGAGACACAUUGCUCUCCAGUUCCAGAGGAGGGACAAGAAUAGAUUGAUGACCUGAAUAUACACUAAGG